GUGUUGUAUGAAAUGAGAGAAGGUUAGCACUCCCCUUGACAAGGAUCGAAGAGGCUCUCCGGCCUGACCACACGCAUACGGUUAAGGCAUGGCCACCAACUUCGUGGCAUCUAACCACUUUUUUCA
ensembl:snRNA